UACGUAGGGUGCGAGCGUUAAUCGGAAUUACUGGGCGUAAAGCGUGCGCAGGCGGUUCGUUGUGUCGGUGGUGAAAUCCCCGGGCUUAACCUGGGAAUUGCGCUUGUGACUGGCGUGCUGGAGUGUGGCAGAGGGAGGUGGAAUUCCACGUGUAGCAGUGAAAUGCGUAGAGAUGUGGAGGAACACCGAUGGCGAAGGCAGCCUCCUGGGCCAGCACUGACGCUCAUGCACGAAAGCGUGGGGAGCAAACAGG
rnacentral:rRNA from 1 species